UUGAACAAUUCAUAAAGGCAAAAAGUGAAAGUAAAAAAACAUUGACAAUCCAAAUGCCAUUUGACAUUUAUGCAUCAGUAAAACAAUGUAACUACUGUUGGCUGUAGUGUUAAGAAUAGAAUACAAAGAUUGGAUGUUUUUCAUGGAAUAGUUGGAAAAAAAUGAAGGGGAUUUGACUGAGUCGAUAUCACAAUUGCAAAUUGGUUCAAAUUAGGUUGAAGGAGUAAUCUGCGUUUGCUACAACAAUUUUUUGACUUAAUGACAUACACUACCGGUCAAUGGUUUUAGAACACCUACUCAUUCAAGGGUUCUUCUUUAUUUUUACUAUUUUCUACAUUGUAGAAUAAUAGUGAAGACAUAAAAACUAUGAAAUAACACAUAUGGAAUGUAGUGUUUCUGCUGUUUCUUAAAGUCCACAAUCAUCUCCUUUGUUUUGUUGACGUUGAGUGAGAGGUUAUUUUUGACACCACACUCCAAGGGGCCUCACCUCCUCCCUGUAGGCCGUCUCGUCGUUGUUGGUAAUUCUUAUUUUUGUUGAGUUUAGUCUCAUAAUUUCUUAAUUUGCAGUAAGUAAGCCAGUCAUAUGUACAGCCAGACGUAGCCACUCCUUUUCUUUCCCCCAUGCAUUUCAACAAUACAGUGUUUCAGUUCCUCAUCAAUCCAUGGAGCGUUAACAGUCAGUUUCUUAGCAGUUGCAUGUUUAUCAAUAAUAGGAAGCAAUUUCAGAAAUUCAUCAAGUGCAGCGUCUGGAUGCUCAUCAUUAAUCACAUCAGACCAACAAUUAUUUUUAACAUCAUCCACAUAAGAGUCACAGCAAAAUAUUUUGUAUGAUCCCUUAUACACUAUUUUAGGCCCAGCUGUUGGGUUUCCUGGAUAUAGCCACUAUACUGUGAUCACUGCAUCCAAUGGGUAGAGAUAUAGCUUAAAACAAAUUUCUACAGCAUUAGCAAAGAUGUGAUUGAUAUAGUUGAAGUCGGAAGUUUACAUACAACUUAGACAAAUACAUUUAAACAAAGUUUUUUCACCAUUCCUGACAUUUAAUCCAAAAAAAAUCAGUUUUAAGUCAGUUAGAACCACCAGUUUAUUUUAAGAAUGUGAAAUGUCAGAAUAAUAAUCAAACAUUCCGGGUAGCCUUCCACAAGCUUCCCACAAUAAGUUGGGUGAAUUUUAGCCCAUUCCUCCUGACAGAGCUGGUGUAACUGAGUCAGGUUUGUAGGCCUCCUUACUCGCACACACUUUUUCAGUUCUGCCCGCAAAUUUUCUAUAGGAUUGAGGUCAGGGCUUCGUGAUGGCCACUCCAAUACCUUGACUUUGUUGUCCUUAAGCCAUUUUGCAACAACUUUGUAAGUAUGCUUGGGGUCAUUUUCCAUUUGGAAGAUCCAUUUGCAACCAAGCUUUAACUUCCUGACUGAUGUCUUGAGAUGUUGCUUCAAUAUGUCGACCUAAUCUUCCUCCCUCAUGAUGCCAUCUAUUUUGUGAAGUGCACCAGUCCCACCUGCAGCAAAGCACACCCACGACAUGAUGCUGCCACCCCCGUGCUUCACGGUUGGGAUGGUGUUCUUUACCUUGCAAGCCUCCCCCUUUUCCCUCCAAACAUAACGAUAGUCAUUAUGGCCAAACAGUUCUAUUUUUGAUUCAUCAGACUAGAGGACAUUUCUCCAAAAAGUAUGAUCUUGUGCAUUGCAAACUGUAGUCUGGCUUUUUUAUGGCGGUUUUGGAGCAGUGGCAUCUUCCUUGCUGAGCGGCCUUUCAGGUUAUGUCGAUAUAGGACUCGGUUUACUGUGUGUAUAGAUACUUUUGUAACUGUUUCCUCGAGCAUCUUCACAAGGUCCUUUGCUGUUGUUCUGGGAUUGAUUUACAUGUUUCACACCAAAGUACAUUCACAGAACGCGUUUCCUUCCUGAGCGGUUGUUUUUCUGAGAUCUUGGCUGAUUUCUUUUGAUUUUCCAUGAAGUCAAGCAAAGAGGCACUGAGUUUGAAGGUAAGCCUUGAAAUAUUUCCACAGAUGCACCUCCAAUUGACUCAAAUGAUGUCAAUUAGCCUAUCAGAAGCUUCUAAAGCCAUGGAAUAAUUUUCUGGAUUUUAUCAAGCUGUUUAAAGGCACAGUCAACUUAGUGUUUGUAAACUUCUGACCCAUUGUGAUACAGUGAGUUAUAAGUGAAAUAAUCUGUCUGUAAACAAUUGUUGGAAAAAUGUAUUGUGUCAUGCACAAAAGUAGAUGUCCUAACCGACUUACCAAAACUAUAGUUUGUUUACAAGAAAUUUGUGGAGUGGUUGAAAAACGAGUUUCAAUGACUCCAACCUAAGUGUAUGUAAACUUCCGACUUCAACUGUAUAUGGUCUUUUACAUUAGAUUUCAGUUAACCCCCAAAAAUGCUCCCAGGUCGUCACUGCAAAUAAGAUUUGAUUUGCAAUCCACACACACCUGAUGGCCUUCUGGCACUUGACUGAGCGGCCAGCAGAGACCAGGUUUAAAAGUCACAAGCACCAAUCCAUCUGAAACAAGUGUUACUCGAAGAAAACCGACACUGCCAUCAAUCGACGAGUUCUUGUUUAUGACUCAUGUCGCUGGGUCUGAAGCAGAAGGAUUUGGCCCAUUGGUUCAGCAUCCACCAAUCGACAGUGAGCCGGAUUAUCAUCUCUUGGGCCAACUUCCUCUACUGUCUGCUUGGAUCAGCACGGAUAUGGAUCCCCAGGGAAACCAUCAAAGCCCACCUGCCACCCGAGUUCAAGGACUAUCCAGACACCCAGAUAGUGAUCGACUGCACUGAACUCCGCUGCCAGUUCUUCCUACAAGUCACACUGUACCUUUAAGGGCAUGUUGGGAAUAUCACCACAUGGAGCUGUCACAUUUAUGUCAUCGUUGUGUGCUGGAUCUGUGAGUGACAAGAUCUCCAAGCAGUCUGGAAUUAUUUCCUUACUCCCCCCUGACAUGGCCAUUAUGGUGGAUAAGGGCUUUCUCGUAGAUGACAUUGUUCCGUGCAAGGUCUACCGGCCAGCAUUUCUGUCAAGACGCACACAGAUGCCAGCGCAUGAGGUUAGGGAGACCCAAUACAUUGCCAGGCUGAGAGUACAUGUUGAAAGAAUGAUCUGCAGAGUAAAGGAGCACAAGCUGUUUGACACAGUCAUCCCCCUGACCAUCUCAGGCAGCAUCAACCAAUUGUUUGCCUGUUGGUCAACUAUCAAAACGGACCUUUGGUCAGAGCAUGGGCCAAGCCAGUGUAAAUGUACAUGUGUUUAUUUGGUAGUAGCAAAAUAAUAAUUUGUUUAUCUACGACAUGUAUCAAUCAUUUGUGUUGUAGUGAAUAUCAGUUUGUGUGGAGCUUGUAUUGGCUUUAAUUAGGCAAUGAGUUUAGGGGUGGGGGAAAAAAAUCAAGUAAACACAAAAUAGCCAGAAUGCAAGACUGUAUACAAUGUUAGAGAUGUGUAAUUGAUUUACUGAACUGUUGAACAUUUGCUGAAAUACAUUAUUUUAAACAAAUAUAUUAUACUGCAGUUUUCUUCACAAGAACAUCAAUACUUAUUUUUCAUGAAACCACUAAACUCGGCACCCAUGCAGGGGAUCCAUUCAGGUGCGAGAGACACUUCUGCAAGUAGUGGUAAAAAUAAAAGUGUUAAACCUUCUCUCUUAUAUUUUUUGAAACCUGUAGAUCUUUAGACAUCCUUUCAACUAGGAUGUCCUCCUGUGCACAGAUGACAAAGUCACACCAGCUACAACCUGUGAGAAGAAUUUGACCUUGCACCUGCCAGUAGUAAGCAUGAAAUCUCUUCAACUUCAGCUUUCCAUUCUGUAUCCUCAGGUAAAGGCAGUCAACAUAACUUUGUACAUUUGGGCACUUGACCUCUAAGAGUCCAAAGUGUGGUCUCACACUGGGAUCAAAUAUGAUCUCAUCCGGAGAAGAUCCUAACCACGGAGCAUCUGGGUGCACUACGAAGCCACAUGGAAAGAAGUUAACAUUCUUCAGUGUGCAGUACUCCUGUAUAGCCACUGGCUCCAUGGCUAGCCCCCUCUUCAUCUCCACGGUCUGCACACCAGUUCCCUUGAACAUCCGCUAAGCUAGGCGGUCCGCUGAGGUCUCUCCCCGGACAUGGCAAACCUCUCGGAAACGAGAGGAUGUUAUUCUCAUUUUCAUGAGCUGAUGCCAUUCUGGGCUGCUGCUCUGCUCCCUUGAAGCAACCUCGACUUUGUGUGACAUCUCGUAGGUUGUCUAAUGCCUUGACCUGGAACUGCCUGUCACGUUCUGACCUUUAUUUCCUGUGUUUUGUAUUUAGUUAGUAUGGUCAGGGCGUGAGUUGGGUGGGCAGUCUAUGUUUGUUUUUCUAUGAUUUGGGUAUUUCUAUGUUUCGGCCUAGUAUGGUUCUCAAUCAGAGGCAGGUGUCAUUAGUUGUCUCUGAUUGAGAAUCAUACUUAGGUAGCCUGGGUUUCACUGUGUGUUUGUGGGUGAUUGUUCCUGUCUCUGCACCAGAUAGGACUGUUUUGAGUUUUCACAUUUCUUGUUUUUUGUAGUCAGUUGUUCAUGUGUACCUUAACGCAUUAAAAAGAACCAUGGACAAUUA